UACCAGCACCCCGAGUGGUCGGGACGAUUAUUGGGCCUAAAGCAUCCGUAGCCGGUCAUGCAAGUCUUCCGUUAAAUCCAGCCGCUCAACGGUUGGGCUGCGGAGGAUACUACGUGGCUAGGAGGCGGGAGAGGCAAGCGGUACUCAGUGGGUAGGGGUAAAAUCCUUUGAUCCAUUGAAGACCACCAGUGGCGAAGGCGGCUUGCCAGAACGCGCUCGACGGUGAGGGAUGAAAGCUGGGGGACCAAACCGG
rnacentral:rRNA from 1 species